rnacentral:rRNA from 1 species
UACGUAGGGGGCAAGCGUUGUCCGGAUUUAUUGGGCGUAAAGCGCGUGUAGGCGGCCAGGUAGGUCGGUUGUGAAAACUGGAGGCUCAACCUUCAGAGGUCGACCGAAACCAUCUGGCUAGAGUCCGGGAGAGGAGAGUGGAAUUCCUGGUGUAGCGGUGAAAUGCGCAGAUAUCAGGAAGAACACCCGUGGCGAAAGCGGCUCUCUGGAACGGUACUGACGCUGAGACGCGAAAGCGUGGGGAGCGAACAGG